ACAUGCCUACGGGACGCAGCAGUAGGGAAUCUUCCACAAUGGGCGAAAGCCUGAUGGAGCAACGCCGCGUGAGUGAAGAAGUAUUUCGAUAUGUAAAGCUCUAUCAGCAGGGAAGAAGAUGACGGUACCUGAUUAAGAAGCCCCGGCUAACUACGUGCCAGCAGCCGCGGUAAUACGUAGGGGGCAAGCGUUAUCCGGAUUUACUGGGUGUAAAGGGAGCGUAGACGGCAUAGCAAGUCUGAAGUGGAAGCCCAAGGCUCAACCAUGGGACUGCUUUGGAAACUGUUAAGCUAGAGGGCUGGAGG
rnacentral:rRNA from 1 species